rnacentral:rRNA from 1 species
UGCCAGCCGCCGCGGUAAUACGGAAGGCCCGAGCGUUAAUCGGAAUCACUGGGCUUAAAGCGUGCGCAGGCGGAUGUGUAGGUGUCUUGUGAAAGCCCUCGGCUCAACCGGGGAACUGCAGGGCAAACCACACAUCUUGAGGCAGGUAGGGGUCGAUGGAACUGUCGGUGGAGCGGUGAAAUGCGUAGAUAUCGACAGGAACGCCAGUGGCGAAGGCGAUCGACUGGGCCUGUCCUGACGCUCAGGUACGAAAGCGUGGGUAGCGAACGGGAUUAGAUA